CAAAAAUUACAAAAAUACCCUUGUAUAUGGAAAACACACAAAAAUACAUGAAUUCUAAUCUUUUGUUGCCCGCAUUGAAAGUUUUGUAGCAUCCCUAGAUUCUACAGCACAGAGUGGACAUGCAAAAGGCGCUGAUUGGCAAGAGGAGAUCUAUCAGAAGAUCAAAGUCAUGAAGGAGACUUAUUUCCAUUAAAUAAAUGAAAUGUACUAGAGAAUUGCUGCCAAGUUACAGCAGCUUGACUCUCAUCCGCAACAACCGAAGUCAGAACAACUUGAAAAGCUGGAGGUAUUCAAGGCCAUGUUGGAGCGCUUGAUAACAUUCUUACAGGUCUCUAAAAACAACAUCACACCUAGUUUCAAGGAGAAAUUGGGUUCCUAUGAGAAGCAGAUUGUAAGUUUUCUAAACCCAAGCAGAUUCAAGAGCCCUAUUCCUAAUCUACAGCUAGGACAACUUCCCCAGCCUCCAGUUCCUCAAUUGCAGUCCCAUGAAAAUCAACUGAAUCCCCAGUUGCAAACAAUGAAUGUUCACAGUUCUAUACCAACGAUGCAGCAGAUCAAUAUGUCAAGAUUGCAGCAUGGUUCUCUUUCAUCUUUAUCUAGGUUUCUAUGUCGCAGCCAAACACGAUGAUGCGGGACGAGAAGUUUUAAAAAAAGAAAAGGGGGAAGAGAGAAUGAUGAGGAUAUUGUAGCAAAAUAUUUCACCAUUGACAUAUGUCACAGCCAUAUUGGAGAGAAUGAUUACUGUCUUACGAUCUUCUUAAAACAUGGGUAAACAUGGGUUUGAGGUUGUCAUGUUGAAUCAUCUUUUUACGGUCUGGGACAUCAAACAUAACCUUCUAAUGACUACCAUUCAUGUUUGCGCAAUCAAACAUCAGCUUUGACAAU